AUACUUACAUGGGUGGAUCAAUUGGUGAUAAGAAGAUCCAUGGCCUAGGUAAGUGACCUCCAUUGUUCUUUAGAGGGGUGCUUGCCUAAGCUCGGUUUAAGUGGUCGAGUCUACAUCGUAAUAUGUGGUGGAGGGGGCCCCCG
rnacentral:snRNA from 10 species